CGUUCGUAAAAAAUUUACACCUGCCUCGUUCAAUCGAACUUUUAAACUUCAAAAUACUCUAACCUCCAAACUUGCCUGCUCAACGUUGACGUAAAACUUUCAUCAGACCGCGAAGCUUGAAGGUCAAAAGAGUCAAACCACAGCAGCCGCGUUUGGAAAGUGCUGCUGUGCUACGGUGGCCCGACAAAUUAUAUUUGUUUCGUCGCGUCGGAGGGGAUGGGCUCGAGACCUGGUACCCCCGCCCCGUCCUCACCUUGCUUUGCUUUCAGUUGCGCUGAAAUAGAGCUUUCGGUCGGUCGGUUGUCUGAGCGCGCCGGCGAAGUUUCCUAACCUUGCGUGAACACGUGUUUUCCUGUUUUUCGGAUUCACUCCAGCAGAACGAAUAUUUUACGGUGUUUUCUCACAACUAAUGUCAAUUUAUCAAUCGUAAACUUUCUACAAGCUUACACAAGUUACUUCAUUCGCUAGCCAUGUAUUUCUCCUCGUACAGUAAAUUUAAUCGCUUGACAAAUUAGUCUAGUUUUCCAUUUGAAAGUGAUCUUUUCUCUACCCGAGCAUUUUUCUCUCACCUUGUGUUUACCGUUGUUUUCGCAGUGUUAAAAUAGAAAACAUGUCGUCCAUCAUGUCAUUGAUUAAUUAUUUAUUUUUCAUUGGUGGUCACAACAAGAGAUGAUUCAUUUAGGUACAUGAUUGUGGUGUGAUUUCGGGUCUGAAAAGCCACUCGCAAGAAUUUAAGAAGUUUCCAUGAACAUGAUUUAGUGUGCUCUGGCGAGUGAAAAAAAUCAGUUGAUUUGGAGUGAUAGCCUUGCUAUUUUUUUUUCGAUUUAUUUCAUAGGUAGUGGUGGUCUCCAAUUUGUUUUACAAAAAACAUACGCAUUUUGGAAUAUGGUUUCAAAAUCGGAAUAACUCUGUUUACUCGGAUUUUCGAAAAUUAGUGCGUGAUUUGCUGGCCCGAAAAAAGUGUUAAGAUGCGUUGAUUUGCGGUGCUAUGCGACUCUCCGCCACUCGGUUGGCAGCCGUCCUCUGCCUUCCCGCUCUUCGUCACUCGCAUAUCAUCCUUAGACUUCAUCUCCUCUACGCUUUGAUAUUCUACUCUGCAGCUGACAAUUUAGGUAAUUUUGCAUGAUCGAGAUGUUCAACUCAAUAUAAGAGUUUCAAAGUUCUUAUCUCAUAGUAUUUACGGAACAUUGAAUCGUAAGUAAAAACUUUUGUACUAAUUGACGCCUCUUUCAACAAUCGAGGAACAGGGCUACGCAUCUUUAAAAACGCCUUCAAUCCGCGAGUAUACCACAGCGCUCUCUUGUGGUGGAAUAGUUUAUCAUUAAACCCGGCUUUCAUUGAAAUUUAUUAAUAAAUAUUAAUUAAGGUCAUUUAACGACUUUCCGAAUGACAAAUUUCCCAGAUUAUGAUAGUUAAUUGAAUCACAGUAAGUGGAAAAGAAUCGCGUGACAUGGUUUUGAAAUGCUAGAAAAGUAGAUUUCAGAAUUGAUUCUUUUAUACAAUCUCAUGUAAAGAGCAAGUUUCAGGCCAUUUUGGUCGAAAAGUUUGGUUACGUGAAUUGAGUAUCUAGCCCAAUGUGGAAUAUUCAGGAACA
rnacentral:lncRNA from 1 species